rnacentral:sRNA from 1 species
AUGUCCCUACCUAGACUCCGGUUCCCCCGCGCCGUGCGCACCCACCUGACGGCUGCUCGCUACGUUGUGUUAGCC